GUUGCUGUAGUUGAUUUCCUAUUACUUUCCAAUACUGGUGGCAGUGCAGCAUCUGCAUUCUCAUUCCUGUCGUUGUCUGGAAGACCUGGGAGGACACCGAGCGGUGCAGCUUGUACCAGAAGGGACUUCAGUUCUCUUGCCUCAUCAUCUUCUUCAUACUGAAACGUCAGGAUAGGCCCAUCCGUGUUUAUCUUUGAACUGAUGCUCUCUGC
rnacentral:lncRNA from 1 species